UUUUAUUUUCUUUGAAACACAGUUAUCAAAAUGAAAAACCAUUAUGAAAAGCAUCUAUCUUCAUCACUGAACCUCAUGGCAUGUUCAUAUAUGAGGAAAUGGGGCUUCUGAGGAGUUAAAUAACUAGCCCGAGUGCUCAUAUCUAGCGAAUACUCCAGUUGAGAUAAUUUUGCACUUCUGCUAAUUGAAUCUUCAAUCACACCUCACUUCCAAAAGAAUCGUCAGUGGGCGUCCCUUCAAAAACAGAAGCUUCUAGGCUCUACAAGGGAGUGUUAGACUACAGUUCUUUCAUAAUA